rnacentral:rRNA from 1 species
UACGUAGGUGGCAAGCGUUGUUCGGAAUUACUGGGCGUAAAGCGCACGUAGGCGGAUAUUUAAGUCAGGGGUGAAAUCCCGGGGCUCAACCCCGGAACUGCCUUUGAUACUGGGUAUCUUGAGUAUGGAAGAGGUAAGUGGAAUUGCGAGUGUAGAGGUGAAAUUCGUAGAUAUUCGCAGGAACACCAGUGGCGAAGGCGGCUUACUGGUCCAUAACUGACGCUGAGGUGCGAAAGCGUGGGGAGCAAACAGG